CCGUCCUGUAAUUUUACACUGUUCAUAUCUAACGUUUGAUCGUUCGUCUUAUUUAGAAAUUUUUUACGAUUAAUAUUUUUAUUGUUACUAGAUGAUAAAACAUGAAUAUUACUUUAUGUGUGACUAUCUUUUUUUAAUUUUCUCGUAAAUUUUUCAAAUAAGACGGAUGGUCAAACGUUGAACACGGAUUCGCACGACUAUACUUAUU
rfam:Oryza glumipatula chromosome 6, whole genome shotgun sequence.